CGGGAAGUAGCGUAACGGCUAUCGCGCCUGCUUUGGGAGCAGGAGGCUGCGGGUUCGAAUCCCGCCUUCCCGA
rnacentral:tRNA from 1 species